AGCAGCCGCGGUAAUUCCAGCUCCAAUAGCGUAUAUUAAAGUUGUUGCAGUUAAAAGCUCGUAGUUGAAUUUCGGGGUUAGCAGGUCGGUCGUGCCAUCGGUAUGAACUGGUCUCGCUGAUCCCUCCCUCUUGACGAACUGUGAUGCCAUUAAUUUGGUGUCGCAGGGAAUCAGGACUGUUACUUUGAAAAAUUGAGUGUUUAAAGCAGGCUCACGCUUGAAUACAUUAGCAUGGAAUAAUGAAAUAGGACGUUUGAUCCUAUUUUGUUGGCUUCUAGGAUUGACGUAAUGAUUAAUAGGGAUAGUUGGGGGCAUUAGUAUUCAAUUGUCAGAGGUGAAAUUCUUGGAUUUAUUGAAGACUAACUACUGCGAAAGCAUUUGCCAAGGAUGUUUUCAUUAAUCAAGAACGAAAGUUAGGGAUCGAAGACGAUCAGAUACCGUCGUAGUCUUAACCAUAAACUAUGCCGACUAGGGAUCGGAUGAUGUUAAAUUUUUUAAUGACUUACG
rnacentral:misc_RNA from 1 species